CAUUCUGGAUUGGAUGGCAACAUGCAAGUAAACACAGAUUUUUAUCAGAUUGUUGAGUGGUGCCUCGAACCAAAAAGCAGAAGUUACAACUGCACCAUGGGCUAAAAACAUUGUGAUCUACUCCUCCUUCAGCCACAGCCAAUUGACCCUGUUUGGCUUAGCAAAGUCUAUAGAACAGAGGAGGACCAAGACAACAGUGCUAAACAGACUAACCCGUUUCACUGAAAUACAGGGUAAUCAGGUGUGGAGAAGUGAAGAUUGUGAGUGGGAGUCGGCGAGAGAAAGGACUUGUCCCUGCCUACAUUCUUCUGUUCCAAUUACUGGGGGAGAGAUUAGACUGAAAGCUAAACGUGAUGAGCGAUGUGGACAGCUAGUUUCAGUGUUUCUGAUCAUAUCAUGAGUUCAUGAGUUCUUGCCAGGUUUAAAGGAUAUGAAA